GGGGGUGAAUGGACUCGAUUUAUGAUUUGAGUCUUGAAGUUGCAUGUCGAGGUACGCCGGGAGGCCUCGUUAAAAACCUGGCAAAAAAAAAUAAGCGACGCUGGUUGCGUCUCAUACUCUCUCUGUUAAGAGGGAGGCCUCUUUGAUGUUUGCCUGUGACUUUAAAUGAGGCUCGGAUAGCAGGUUGCCUCUUUCAUUUUGCCUGUGGGUGAAAGAAUAAGAUUUACGCAGGAUAUGCUUAUCUGAAUUCUGCCUUUUGAAGUUAGAUAAGUGAAUUUAAAUAAAAGGCUAUGCAUGUAGAUGCUCAAGAUUUCUUUCGUAAACACGCGGGUUCGAUUCCCGCCACCUCCAUUA
rnacentral:tmRNA from 1 species